rnacentral:rRNA from 1 species
GAUGAACGCUGGCGGCGUGCCUAAUACAUGCAAGUCGAGCGAACGGACGAGAAGCUUGCUUCUCUGAUGUUAGCGGCGGACGGGUGAGUAACACGUGGAUAACCUACCUAUAAGACUGGGAUAACUUCGGGAAACCGGAGCUAAUACCGGAUAAUAUUUUGAACCGCAUGGUUCAAAAGUGAAAGACGGUCUUGCUGUCACUUAUAGAUGGAUCCGCGCUGCAUUAGCUAGUUGGUAAGGUAACGGCUUACCAAGGCAACGAUGCAUAGCCGACCUGAGAGGGUGAUCGGCCACACUGGAACUGAGACACGGUCCAGACUCCUACGGGAGGCAGCAGUAGGGAAUCUUCCGCAAUGGGCGAAAGCCUGACGGAGCAACGCCGCGUGAGUGAUGAAGGUCUUCGGAUCGUAAAACUCUGUUAUUAGGGAAGAACAUAUGUGUAAGUAACUGUGCACAUCUUGACGGUACCUAAUCAGAAAGCCACGGCUAACUACGUGCCAGCAGCCGCGGUAAUACGUAGGUGGCAAGCGUUAUCCGGAAUUAUUGGGCGUAAAGCGCGCGUAGGCGGUUUUUUAAGUCUGAUGUGAAAGCCCACGGCUCAACCGUGGAGGGUCAUUGGAAACUGGAAAACUUGAGUGCAGAAGAGGAAAGUGGAAUUCCAUGUGUAGCGGUGAAAUGCGCAGAGAUAUGGAGGAACACCAGUGGCGAAGGCGACUUUCUGGUCUGUAACUGACGCUGAUGUGCGAAAGCGUGGGGAUCAAACAGGAUUAGAUACCCUGGUAGUCCACGCCGUAAACGAUGAGUGCUAAGUGUUAGGGGGUUUCCGCCCCUUAGUGCUGCAGCUAACGCAUUAAGCACUCCGCCUGGGGAGUACGACCGCAAGGUUGAAACUCAAAGGAAUUGACGGGGGCCCGCACAAGCGGUGGAGCAUGUGGUUUAAUUCGAAGCAACGCGAAGAACCUUACCAAAUCUUGACAUCCUUUGACAACUCUAGAGAUAGAGCCUUCCCCUUCGGGGGACAAAGUGACAGGUGGUGCAUGGUUGUCGUCAGCUCGUGUCGCGAGAUGUUGGGUUAAGUCCGCAACGAGCGCAACCCUUAAGCUUAGUUGCCAUCAUUAAGUUGGGCACUCUAAGUUGACUGCCGGUGACAAACCGGAGGAAGGUGGGGAUGACGUCAAAUCAUCAUGCCCCUUAUGAUUUGGGCUACACACGUGCUACAAUGGACAAUACAAAGGGCAGCGAAACCGCGAGGUCAAGCAAAUCCCAUAAAGUUGUUCUCAGUUCGGAUUGUAGUCUGCAACUCGACUACAUGAAGCUGGAAUCGCUAGUAAUCGUAGAUCAGCAUGCUACGGUGAAUACGUUCCCGGGUCU